GAUGAACGCUAGCGGGAGGCUUAACACAUGCAAGUCGAGGGGCAGCAUUUACUUCGGUAAGAUGGCGACCGGCGCACGGGUGCGUAACGCGUAUGCAACCUACCUUAUACAAAGGGAUAGCCCAUGGAAACGUGGAUUAAUACCUUAUAGGACUAAUAUUUCGCAUGAUUUAUUAGUUAAAAUUUCGAUGGUAUAAGAUGGGCAUGCGUCUGAUUAGCUAGUUGGUGAGGUAACGGCUCACCAAGGCAACGAUCAGUAGGGGUUCUGAGAGGAUUAUCCCCCACACUGGUACUGAGACACGGACCAG
rnacentral:rRNA from 1 species